UCCUUAUCUUCCAGGUGGCCAAGAGCAUGC
rnacentral:piRNA from 1 species